rnacentral:tRNA from 1 species
UAAGCGGAUGCUCGCUGGUUUGAGCGCUUAGCUGUUAACUGAGAGUUUGUAGGAUCAAGGCCUUCCCGCUUAG